UUUAGCACUCUACACAGUUAGCUGGAGCUUUUAGUGAUUCCGGAGUUUUGUUGAUUCCUCCGGAUUUUCUUUUGGAGGGGAAUCUGCUACGUGUGUGUACAUGUGUGUUGCAAGAGAAGCCUCAAUCAUGAGCAGAAAGUAAUGGUAUAACUACCUGGCUAGUAUUAGAGGAGGCGAGAUUUGGUGAGUCCAUGCUCAUGUAGGUGCCUAUAUGCUCAAGACUUUUGAUCACAUAGGCAAGUUGAGCAAGGUGUGUCCUGAAUGCCUGGGUUGAAUUUCUUGAAAGUGAAGUCAGCAGAAAAAUCGCUACUGCAUCUACCAAGUGAUUAACGACAUAUUUCUACUUACUAUCAUGGAAGGGUUAGAGUUGGUCUAGUAAAAUUUAAUAUAUUAAUCUGAAAUACAUAUUCACUCACUCGAUAUCUAUGGAAAGUGAAGACAUCAACACUCUUUCCAUAUGCUUUGUUUCUAUAUACUUCAGGACAGGUGUCAUGCAUGGAUCUUCAAGUACGAAAACUAUGCGAAGAACUAAUGUCAUUUAUGGCAAAAAAAGAAAAACAAAAGCUUUUCGUAGUCUAAAAAUCAUUUCUAAUGUUCUGUAAGUAAGUUAGAUGCACAACUUCCUGAAGUUUGAAUCAUUUUUCUUUCAGUUUAGCAUUGAAGCUUUAAUGAAUCGCCAAGAUAGCAUUGAAGGUUCAAUGAAUCGCCAAAUAAAAAUUGUGGUUAGGAGAAAAAGAUGGUUACAUGUCCGGUGGGUAAUACGGGCACAAAUCUAGUCAAAUGUUUAAACAAUUUAGAAAUUAAAUCAACGGAAAAGUCAUUUACAUA